UUCAGUUUAGUCAUGAUUAGAUUAGACCCCCUCAUCCUCAUCAGAUUCUUCCACAUGGUCAAGCUCGAGCGGGCCAUCCGCCUCGGACUCGCCAUUGUGCCACGACAGCGGAUUAAACAACUAAAUUGAUUUAUAAAGUGCCAUGCCUCUAACAAAAUUAAUUUUCUAUUUGUCUUUUUAGAAAUAUUUAGCAAAAAGUAAUAAAAUAUAUCCAAUUUUUACAAAGACCUACCUUAUAUUAGUUAAACUAACAUAUACAAAUAAACAAUUGAUUUAGUUAAUAAUUAGAAGAAAUACCACUUAACUUGUUUAAUAAAAUCAAUAAAAAAUAUAAUAGUUUAUUGAUAGCAUUAUUUAGCUACAAUAAAACGGUACUCCUUAAUUUUAGAAAAAAAAUAAGGUCAAUAUAAUAGCUAAUUAUUGAUUUUUUGUGUAAAAGUAUAUAAGUUUUGGAUACUAAAAGACGAAAGAACUGGAAAAGAUAAACAUGAUAUCACUUAAAUCAUUGACACGUUAUCAAAAUCAUCAACAAAAACUGUCUAGGGGUUAUUUGUCUACUUUUGUAAAGUCGAGAGACAAUUGAUUUUGAAUAUGAGGAGGUGAAGUAGGAUGUUACGUAGGCUUAUUGUUUUCUAAACUAGAAAAGCAAGUUUCGCGUUAUUUCUUUUUUUUCUUGUAAUUUUAGGUUACCCAACUAGUAUAAUGCACGAGCUCAUAACGUAAGCGCACUUAUCUGUAUGGUACUAAAUCAGAGGUACCUAUGAGUAGUUUCCAAGACUUCUUUCAGAAGACUCGUACAAUGCAUUAGAUUUUGGGCCUUGUUGUAUAUACAUGUUUUCGAGAACCUGUGUUUCUUAUUUUGCACCGAGCGUAUUACUACACAUGGUGCGUUUUGAGCUAAGGUUUCAAGCUUUUCAUUUGAACCGUAUCGUGAUCUUAAAUUUUGUACUCUAUCUGUCAUUUAUUAUUGACUUCUCAAAAGAUUUCCUCUAUAUUUUAAUUAAUCUACAACAAUGUUCUGUACGUCUUGUGAUCUUGUCCUCUAUAUGUUAAAGACCCAUAACACUAGAGACGUUUUUUCUCAAAAUUUUUACAGAUAUAUAUAUUUGUCAUAUCCUCAAAUGGUGUAUAUUUUUUAUUUAGCUUAAUGUAUUGCCCAAAGUGUAAAAUUGGAUAGAGAAGAGAAGAUAGAAUCUCUAUAUGGAGAGAAUCAAGGACUAUCCUGUAUAUUUAGAUGGGACUUUAGGCCGUGUUCAUCAGUUUAUUGAUAUUGUUACCGAAAACAUUGUUUUGCAGUAUUCUGUAUUGUAGAUUGCAUUGUUCGUCUAGUGGAGUUUAAAUAUAAGGACGAAGAUGAAUAAGCUGUUGUAGAUAGUCUUAGAGAAUAUCGUUGAAGACUAGAAACUAGAUCGAUCUUCUCCAUGUUUAGGAUAGAGAAACAUAUGUAGUCUUUUGUUAGGGACAACCUUAUGCUGUAGAAAAUGUAGUGAGACUAUAUGUUUUCAAUGGCACGUGUAGAAUUUCAAUUUUUUUAGAAAAAAAGAGAGUCAAAAUAAUUUAAUUAGGUGUGAUGCCGUUGGUAUAUAUCCCCUCCACUCCAUAUAUAAAACAAAUGGGUGGCAGGCUGGGAACUGAUAGAAGAGAAUUAAUGUUGGUUACACAAUUGUAUCAUGCCAUGGAGCAUGGAUAAUUGGCUAAUAUAAUUGUUCGCUGAUAUAGGCACGAAACUAGAUUACUUGCAGAGAGCACAGUUUCCGUGUCAAACUGUUGACGUACUUGUACUUGGCAUGCUAUUUAUUAUAAUUAGUGUUCUGUAAGUAAUACUCCCUCUGUUUCUCUUUAUAUGUCGCCUAGUAGUUCAAAUUUGUACUAACGGACGACAUAUAUUAAGGAACGGAGGGAGUACUAUCUUCUCUCGUACCGGCUCAUACGUACCAGCCUAUAUUCCCAACCUAGCUCUGAAUCUGAUGAGUUGUGCGCCAACAACCAUGCAUAUGCUCGGUGUAGCUAGUGCGGCCCAUUGCAGCUAGUGCCUGCUGUGACUCGAAGCAGCAGCAACGUGCAGGCUGGACGAGCAGCAGAGGCGAAGCGAAGCUUCCAUCCAUCCCGUCGUGUCCACCCUGGGUCUCGGUCUUUUAUUUGGAUCAUUCCAUUCUACGGUCGUCGGUCACCAAUGACUAGAUUAGACUUAAAUCUAACUGUCAAUCUCCUUAAUCAGAUCUUUGAUUGAGAGGGCUCACGGUAACCAUGGUUAGAGCCCGGUUACAUGAAGCUAUAUAAAGGAUUAAGGGGUCGUGAGAAAGCGAACACUAAUCCCUCGCUCUAAAUACUAAUCCACGGACAAAACUCAUCGCCCUCUUCUACAGGACAGCGGCGACUGCAGGAAUCGAGGCAUCGUCAUCGGUAAGGAUCAGAUCCAUCUCCAGCUCUGCAUGACCAAGGCCAGCCACAUGGAUGGAUGGAUGGAUGAUACAUAUGCUGAAACGAACUGGAGUUUCCGUCACUCUCACGUCUCGUCUCGUGUGUCUUGGGUAUUUUUUUUAAAAAAAAUUUCUUUCCUUUUUCUUGGGAUAGCAAGCAGUUCGUGUUUUUGGUGAUGGUGGGAGGAGGCGACAGAGACAGGUGCCUCAUCUCAUCUGAUGUGAUGGCGACACCACACCGGCCGUCACCUGCCAAAGUCUGCUUCACUUUACUGCUAAUGCUGCUGCUCAAGCUAGAUAAUUCCUCACCUCAUCUCUCUCUUUCUGGCUACAAGUCAGUGAUUAUUACGUUUCUUCCUGACAGUCCUAAUCGCAUGGAAAUGGAAGGCUUUCUUCUCUUUCAUUAGGAGUUGCUGUGGACCUUUUAACAUGCACACGAUCGGUUUCAUGUAAUUGUACAGGGAAGGGUAAAUAAUAGCAAUAGCUAGAUUGACUGGACUU